ensembl:lncRNA
GUGGAAGCUGAAUUAGUGAGGAUGACUCCUGCUCCUGUCAUCUCUAAGCUCCUCACACAUCUUUACCUGCACAUGAGGAAAAUCACUCCUGUAGAAUGCAGUGGUUCAUCAGAACCUCUGGGGAUGUCCUGUGGAUUCUGUGGAUCCUGUGGGUUGCAGGGUGGGUCCUACUUAGACCAGGCUGAUCCCGGACCAUCCCACAGAUGCUCCAUCAGAUCUGGAUGUGGGGAGUGUGGAACCCAGAUGUUCAGAGGGAGAUGAUGCCACAUCUGGUCCAGCUGAUGGAAGGUCUUGAAGUUCUCUGACUGGCCUCGACUGAAGAUGGUCCUCUCACUAUGUUUAAGGUUCAGAUGCUCAGUAACAAACUCCAACAAUGUGCCAACAGGGAAGCUUUAGGUUUAAUUAAAUGUUGUUAUGAAGGUAUCGCUGUUUUUCUUUGUGAAUGCAAUGUGCUCCAACUGAAACUUGAAUUAGAACUUAGAAGUAAAUCCUUCCAUCUGAAAGGAUUUAGUUGCAUUAAUAACCUCAUAACAUUCUAAUUUUUAUUCCAGUCUUGGUUGGAAAUAGAAUCUCUGUAUUGAUUCAGGUAAAAACUGAACUUCACCGCAUGUUGGAGCAAAACAACCAGAUGAAAACUGUGAUGUUGUUGGAUUGUCAGACCGUAAUGUUGCAGCUCAAAGCAGCUUUUCUAUCUCAGUUCAUUCUGACAUUCAGCUAUGAAUCAACACAGCAGAUGGUGAUCCAUGCUGUGGAAGUCUCACAUCUCCUGAUUUAAUGGCGCUGCUUUGCACUUUUUACGCUGUUUAUUCACCAACACUUUAUUUAAUAAAAGUCCCAUCUAGUUUUUAUGAGGAAAGUGAUGUUUUAAUUUCUCUGUGAAUAACUGCAGUCUAAUGCAACAGCUGGAGUUGUAACAUCUGUCCUGAUAUUGAUCAUGAAGUAUUGAUCAGAAUACUUAUGGUUAGCAGUCAUCCCUGAAGUUUUACAUUAAAAUCUUUACUUGUGUUGUGAACUUUGGUAAGAAGCAGAAACUUUUACGUUGCCAUGGAUACAUAAGUGUUAAAUUCUGUCCAUGUUUCCAUUUUGGGAAAUUCAGUCCAGUUCCAGAAUGUGGAGGAAUUUAGUCUCAAUCACAGACAACAAAUAUUAUCUGAAAGUUGAGUUAUUGUUGUUUAUCAGCAUAAUAUAAAAAGAUUAAUGUUAGAAAUAUUCCAGUUAAGACUCUAGAAUAUCAUGAUUUAUGUAAAUUUACCUCAAUAAUAUAAAUGUUCAGGUUAAGAUUGUACAGUGAUAUUUAUUAUGCAAGUUUAGCUGUUUAAAGUUUAUGACUCUGCACUAAAAUAUUAUUUAAACUGACAUCAUUAUUAUAAUAUUUAGGGUCAGACCCUACUGUAUUGAGAUUAAGAAAUCAAAUAUUCUAUAAAAUGUAAAUACACUGAACUCAUUGGGAUAUAUUUAAGUGAGACUCUACAAUAUUAUUUGACACAAAUCUAUCUAAAUCAAAAUUUUAAUCAUUUUUACUUCAAACAUUUACUGGACUGAUUUAAACAUUAAAAUCACUCCUUUCUAAUCCUCUGCUGUACGUUCAAAACUGAGGCCUUAAAUAGAAACACACAAGUAUCUGAUUGAAGGAACUUCUGCAGAGUCCUGGUUCCAGAACACGAUGAUAGAAUUAUAGACAAACUUUAACAAAAGCUGCCUGAGAGUUUACAGGUUUUCAUGUUAGAUUUCUUCAGUAAUUUAAUGAGAGUUAUCAGCAAAAAUCAAGUGUUCAUUUGAUGAACUUCAUUUCCUAAAACAUCCAGAAUUGGAGCUCAUAUCUUUGACAGCUGUAAAGUUUCUGCUCCUUCAAAGUUCACAACACGAGUGAAUUAAUUCCUAAAACACUCUCAAUGCUGGAGAGCGUUUGUGAUGCUGAAGCAGUGAUCAGUUUUUCUGUUUCUUCUCUGGAGAUGGACAAAGAGGGACAUCUGCAGAGACUGAGAAAGAGUCUCACCUCAUCCUGACAUGAGGAAAAAGACUUUAUUGAAGACUACAAUGAGAAAAACUAUCAGACAGCAGACGGCUGCAUUCAAGUCUGUAGCUGCUGAAUUCAUGGAUGAAUCAUCUGGCACUAGAGAGGAAGACCAUCAAACAUCCACAUCAGCUGAUGGAGAUCCAAGAGUCUCACCGAACAAACAACCUACAGAGUGAAGACCUCAAAUCUGAUUGGACGGCCUCCUAUUCAGCCACGUGUCUCAACAAAUGCCUCUAAGUUGAUUUGUUUUCUAAAAUAAAUCUAGUUUGAGUCCUAAUCUAUGCCUGUGUGUUUG